rnacentral:rRNA from 1 species
GUAGGUGGCAAGCGUUGUCCGGAAUUAUUGGGCGUAAAGCGCGCGCAGGCGGUUCUUUAAGUCUGAUGUGAGAGCCCACGGCUCAACCGUGGAGGGUCAUUGGAAACUGGAGAACUUGAGUACAGAAGAGGAAAGCGGAAUUCCACGUGUAGCGGUGAAAUGCGUAGAGAUGUGGAGGAACACCAGUGGCGAAGGCGGCUUUCUGGUCUGUAACUGACGCUGAGGCGCGAAAGCGUGGGGGGAGCAAACAGGAUUAGAUACCCUGGUAGUCCACGCCGUAAACGAUGAGUGCUAAGUGUUAGGGGGUUUCCGCCCCCCCCUUAGUGCUGCAGCUAACGCAUUAAGCACUCCGCCUGGGAGUACGGCCGCAAGGCUG